GGGCACGGUGGCAGUGGCCGCAGCUGCCUCUGCUCUUUGGGAGAUUCCUGCUCGGGGUUGGGCGUGAGGCCGAGGCCGGCCCCGGCGGGGGUGUGGCGGUCGGAAGCGGCGGGGCCGGGCCCUGAGCGAGGGCGUGAGCAAACAAAACCAAGCAACAACAAACUACAAAAACAAAAACCAAAACAAACCUAAACACACGUGCUCUGCUUUUUUCUUUCUUGGAAAUCUGGCUCCCCGGUACCGAAGUGUGCUGACGGGGAAGGUGUGGUGGGAAGAUAAACUCGGCCUUAUCUCCAGUGGGCUGGGAGCCCGGGUGGGAGAGACUGAUAAGGAGCUACAGCUGUAGAAAGGCACAGGGGAGUAACAAGUCAGGGUGCUAGGGAGCAAAGCAAUCCGGAGGUGGUGAUCCUGAAGCUGAAAGGAUGGAGGUGGUGAUCCUGAAGCUGUAGGGAACAGUGAGCCUUGCUCUGUCUACCAAAGGAGUUACGGUGGCAGGGUGAUGACAGCAACAGAACACAUGCACCUCUCAAAGCCUGUUAAAUAAAUACAUAAAAUGA